AUUGAACGCUGGCGGCAGGCCUAACACAUGCAAGUCGAGCGAGCGGCGGACGGGUGAGUAAUGUUUGGGAAACUGCCUGAUGGAGGGGGAUAACUACUGGCAACGGUAGCUAAUACCGCAUACCAUCAGGGGUGCCCAGAUGGGAUUAGCUAGUAGGUGGGGUAACGGCUCACCUAGGCGACGAUCCCUAGCUGGUCUGAGAGGAUGACCAGCCCCACUGGAACUGAUACACGGGCCAGACUCCUACGUGAGGCAGCAGUGGGGAAUAUUGCACAAUGGGCGCAAGCCUGAGCCAGCCAUGCCGCGUGUGUGAAGAAGGUCUUCGGAUUGUAAAGCACUUUAAGUUGGGAGGCGUUACCCGCAGAAGAAGCACCGGCUAACUCCGUGCCAGCAGCCGCGGUAAUAC
rnacentral:rRNA from 1 species